GGGGACUCAGAUGAGCAAGACGCAGCCUCAGAGAAUAGCAGAUCGGACAGGCACAGGACAACCGCACUGCAACAGGUCUACGUGCGACGUGGAGUUUGGCAUCUGAUAAAUCUCCAAGAAAUUCCCUUGGCCUGAGCGGCUCGGGGUCUCAGGCGUGGAUCAUCUUUGUGCUUUGUGUCUCGGCAGAGGCGGGGAGGGCCCCGGUCUCAGCAGCAUUCUUCUGCAGGGAGGAAGGCCUUCCUUCCUUGUACUGGGGACCGUGAGCACCGUACUCCGUGGUUGGAGAAUAAUUGCACUUGGUGCCACGUUUCCGGGUAUUUGCAAGGGGAUUGAAAAAUGCAAUGAUUUUAAGGUGCAACGAUUUCAAGAGCACAGCAUUUGCACCGGAGCUGAACCGUUUUUCUUUCGGAUGUGGAAUUCCCUAAUGCAUCAUGUUUCCCCGGGAGGACUCCGUGGGCCUCAUCAGGACUUUUCGCAGAGCCCCGCGCUCCGAUCCAGGGCCCCUCCCCUUCCAUUCUUCCUUCAUUCUUCUUCCCCUUCCACAGGCGUCCGAAUGCGCCUGGCCUGCCCCCUCGGCCCCGAAUCCAUCGGAGGCAUUUCCCUGCAUAUAAAU